rnacentral:lncRNA from 1 species
GGCAACCCACUCCAGUAUUCUUGUCUGGAGAAUCCCCAUGGAUAGAGGAGGCUCCUAUCUUUCUAAUGCAGAAACUGAGGCUUGGAGGACUCUAGGCUUGGUCUAAGCGCACAUGGUUAGUGAGAGGUGUGUAAGAAUCUUGCAGAAGUUGCACAACCAGUGACCAGUUAGUGCAGGAACCAGGGUUUGAAUCCUCCUCUCCUACUCUGCCCCAGCCCAGACCCCGAGUCUCCCGUCAGCUAUGCCCCCGCUGCUGCUGCUGCUAUACUUGAGACCCUGCUUGGGCGACCCAGGACCCCCAGGGCAUCCAGGGAUGAGGCUCGCACAGGAACUGGGGAGCGAGGGAGGAGGAAGAGAGAAAGGAGGCGGCGGAUGGGAAGAGGAGGAGGAAGCCGGGCAGCCCCAGCCUUGUCCCACCCCUCCCGGGGGCCCAGCCAGGUUCCAGGUGACUAAGCUCUGCGCGCUGAGAACACGCCAUCCCAUGCUCAGCCCAGCACAGCCAGCUCUGGAGGGAGGGUGGGGCCCGACUGCGUACUUUCCAGGUUAACAUCUGGUUUCAUUUAACCGUCUCCUCCCCUCUCGGGUCCUCCCUGUCAAAUGCACAGUGUGUGUGAAUUUAGAGAAGUGGUUCACCCCUGGGGGCAUUUCCGCCCCCACCCCACCCCGGGGGGACAUGUGGCAAUGCGGGGAGACAUUUUCGGUGGUCAGAACUGGGAGGUGCUACUGGUGUCCAGAGGCCAGGGGUGCUGCCAAACUUCCUGCAGGACACCGGCCUCCCCCGCCACUCCCACAGUGAAGAACCAUCAGUUCACAAUGCUGAGGUGGAGAGAAAGAGUUUAGAGGUGGAAGGAAGGCCCCCAUCUCCCCUAUCUGGUUUCUGCUGCCUUAAGCCUCCUAGUCUUCCCAUUCCGCAGGGGGCAAUGAAGUUUACAGGGCAAGGAGAGGGUCCCACCAGCCCUUUCGCUCCCUGCUGAAUCGCACUCCCCUGUUUUCACUUUGGUUUUGAGUUAAGAGCCAAAAGAAGGAAUCUGACCCCCUCCUUCCAUGACCCCCACACCCGCAGGCAGACCCACCCAGGCUUUUUAGAUAUAUCAUGUGUACAUCUGUCCCUUAUACCCGGACUGAGAAUGGGGAAGAGGGAGACUUCAGGGCAGCACUUUCUGAGUAAGGCAAGAAGACUUCAUAUGUGAGAUGAAGUUCAAUACUUCAGGCCCCUCUUCCGGCCCCCUGCCCAUCUGCUGGCCUAGUCUGUGCCUGACAUGCCACCAUUUGCACCUCCCUUUUUCGUGGAAGGCCUUGUGCCCUGUCAAAAUGCAAAUAGCACUGGGUGGGGCAGCUGGUGAAGCCUCCCAGGGCACCUGAUGCUGGAAAUAUGCCAGGGCUUUGGGGUUUGAAGGUCUAAGCUCAGGACCUGACUCUGCCCUUACAGAUCGGGCAUCCUUGGGCAAGUCACUGAACCUCUUUGAGCUUGACUUGCCUCAUCUGCAAAAUGGGGCUAAUAAGGCUAUCUACUGCACAGCUUGUGGAGGGGGCAUCAUGAGUUGUGGGAGCUGUAAAAGAAAGUGGUAAUUAUCAUCAGCUCUGUCCAGAAGUUACACAGAGGUGUCACACAUGCUCGAAGCUUUAUGAGCACUUAUUUGCCUUCAGUGAGGGGACGGGGACUCUGAAGGGAAUCAGUGAAGAAGCCAGGUGGGGGGGCCUCGGCUUCCUCAGGAAGCCUUUACCACCCACUGGGUACCUGCUCUUCCGGUAAUUUAUUUAUUUUUGGCCACACCACGCAGCGUGCAGAAUCUUAGUCCUCCAGCCAGGGAUCGAACUCGUGCGCCCGGCAGUGGAAGCUCAGAGUCCUAACCCCCGGACCACCAGGGGAGCCUCUCCGGUAAUUUAUCAUACACUCUGCCUGUUUUUCCAUCUACGAAGGACAACAGAGACUCUAUCUCAUAGGGUUACUAUGAGUUAAUGAGAUACUCUCCUUAAGGAGCCUGGACGUCUUUAGCCCUCAGUAAAUGUUGACCAGCAUUAUUACUUAUCACAAGUGUGCCUAGGAGGUAGGGCCAUGCAAACUAAUGGUCCAGGAAGCCUCUCAGGGAAGUGAAAGGGCAGAGAGCAAAGGAGCUGAGUGGUGGUCACCUGCCCUCCCCCACCCGGGGAGACAAGGACGGCUCCACAGCUGGAGAACAGGAGUCGGGCAGUGUCUCACUGGCACCUAAACCUCUGGUAAGAGUCCCUCAGCUCCCAGCUGCACAGGUGGGCUGGCCUGGGGCCUUCACACUCCUUCCUGCCAAUCAAACUUCUUGCCACUUUGGGCUGCCCUGAUCCUACACCAUGAUGUCAUCCCACCUGGAACAUCCUUGACCAGUGCCUUCCUUGGUGGUGAGAUGGAACUUCUGGCGGCCAAGGGCUCCAGAGGUAUUCAGGGACUCUUGGGAGGGUACUGGGACACCAAGUCAGGAGAACUUGUAUGGGGCUGGGGGCAUUGUGACAUCUCUUUGACAACAUAAUUCCUUCUGUCUUCCUAAGGAGAUACAGGGGCAGGGCUGGGGGCAGAAGNNNNNNNNNNNNNNNNNNNNNNNNNNNNNNNNNNNNNNNNNNNNNNNNNNNNNNNNNNNNNNNNNNNNNNNNNNNNNNNNNNNNNNNNNNNNNNNNNNNAGAUUGACAGCUGAGAGUUGGACAGACAGACAAGCAGGAGAAUUGUUUGGUUUGUAGACAGAUAGAGAGAUAAUAAAUGACAGAGAUAGGUGCAUAAAUUACUGACAGACAGAGAAUAGAUAAUAAAGAAAAUAGUAGAUGAAUCUGCCUAUCAAUGCAUGAGACUCAGAUGCGAUCCCUGGGUCGGGAAGAUCCCCUGGAGGUGGGAAUGGUAGCCCACUCUGGUAUUCUUGCCUGGAGAAUUCCUAGGACAGAGCAGCCUGGGGGGUUACAUACAGUCCAUGGGGUCACCAAGAGUCGGACAGGAUCGAAGUGACUUACCGCCCAUGCAUGCACAGAUAGGUAAACUUAGAUAGCACACACAUGAAGAAAAAUGUGGAUCGAUGAUGGAUGACAGGUGGGUAAAUAGAUGAUAGUUUGGGUGCCUGAUGGAGGAUAGGUGGAUGGAUAGAAUACAGAGAGGUAUAGAUGAUAGGUAAGUAAGGAGACAGAUAGAUGGAGGGAUAGAGAGGUAGAUGGAUGGGUGGAUGGAUAGAUGGAUAGAUGGAUGGAUGGGUGGGUGGAGGGAUGGAUAGAUGGAUGGAUGGAUGGAUAGGUGUAUGGACAGAUGGAGAGAUGGAUGGAUAGAUGGAUAGGUGUACAGAUAGAUAGUAAAUGGAUGGAUAGGUAGAUGGAUAGAUGGAUAGAUGGAUGGAUAAAGGAUGGCUGUAUGGACAGAUAGAUUGCUGGAUGGAUAGGUGUAUGGAUAGAUGGAUGGAUAGAUGGAUAGAUGUACAGAUAGAUGGAUGGAUGCAUGGAUGGAUAGAAGGGUGG